rnacentral:rRNA from 1 species
AAGGCAUCUGGAAUAGCUGCAUUAGAUGUGAAAAAGCUCAAAGAUGCCAGUCUCUACACAGUAGAGUCUCUGGCUUACACUCCAGAUCUUUUGCGAAUCAAAGGAAUCAGUGAGGCCAAAGUUGAGAAGAUAAUUAAGGCAACAUCCAGGCUUGUUCCGCUGGGAUUUACAAGUGCCAACCAACUACAUGCACAGAGGCUAGAGAUCAUUCAAGUUAGAACUGGAUCAAGGGAGCUUGAUAAGAUCUUGGAUGGGGGGAUAGAAACAAGAUCUAUCACAGAGUUAUAUGGUGAAUUCCCCUCAGGAAAGACUUAGUUGUGCCACACUGUGUUGUUACAUGCCAGGCUUCCAUUGGACCAGGGUGGUGGUGAAGGAAAGGCUCUCUACAUUGACGGAGAGGGGACAUUCAGACCUCAGAGGCUCCUCCAGAUAGUAGACAUGUUUGGAUUGAACGGUGCUGAUGUAUUAGAGAAUGUGGCUUAUGCCAGGGCUUACAAUACUGAUCAUCAAUCCAGACUUCUACUGGAUGCAGCUUCCAUGAUGAUAGGGACGAGAUUCCUGAUAUUUGGAAAUGAUAUGUGCAGGUUUGCUCUUAUGAUUGUUGACAGUGCCACAGUUCUAUACAUAAUUGAUUUCUCAGGUAGAGGGGAACUAUCAGCGAGGCAAAUGCAGAGGGCCAAGUUUCUAUGGAGUCUUCAAAAAUUAGCCGACGAGUCUGGAGUUGCUGUGGUUAUCACGAAUCAGGUAGAGGCACAAGUGGAUGGCUCUGCCAUGUUUGCGGGGCCACAGGUGAAUCCUAUCGGUGGGAACAUCAUGGCGCAUGCUUCCACAACCAGGCUUGCUCUUCGCAAGGGAAGAGGCGAAGAGUGAAUCAGUAAAGUAAUCAGCUCCCCUUGCCUAGCUAAAUCCGAAGCAAGGUUCCAGUUAUCAUCUGAAGGCAUUUCAAAUGCCAAGGACUGA